rnacentral:rRNA from 1 species
CAGGCCUACGGGACGCAGCAGUGGGGAAUAUUGGACAAUGGGGGAAACCCUGAUCCAGCGACGCCGCGUGAGUGAAGAAGUAUUUCGGUAUGUAAAGCUCUAUCAGCAGGGAAGAAAAUGACGGUACCUGACUAAGAAGCCCCGGCUAACUACGUGCCAGCAGCCGCGGUAAUACGUAGGGGGCACGCGUUAUCCGGAUUUACUGGGUGUAAAGGGAGCGUAGACGGCAUAGCCAGUCUGAUGUGAAAGAUCGCGGCUCAACCCCGGGCCUGCAUUGGAAACUGUUAAGCUGGAGU